AACAAGGUUGUCAAACAUGUGAUUGCGAAUGUCCUCUGAGGAAAUGCACGGUAUGUCCAUAUAGUUACCAAUUUGAUGAGCAGGGUUGUCAAACAUGUGAUUGCUCUUUGAUCACACCCAGAUGUUCUAACAGAUGCGACAAUGGAUUUGAAAGAGACAAGUAUGGUUGUGCAAC